rnacentral:misc_RNA from 1 species
CUAGAGUACCGAAGAGUCAUUCGUUUGACUGCUUCAUCUUAAAAAUCUCUUACGAGACAAGUAUUGUGUUGACAGUCAUUUUCUGCUUAGUUUUCAGUGAUCCAUGUUAUUUGACAUAAUACAUUGGGUUUGUAGCUCAGCUGGUUAGAGCACACCCCUGAUAAGGGUGAGGUCGAUGGUUCGGGUCCAUUCAAACCCACCAUAAGAUCACUUAUCUGGGGAAUUAGCUCAGCUGGGAGAGCGCCUGCCUUGCACGCAGGAGGUCAGCGGUUCGAGCCCGCUAUUCUCCACCAGAGAAGAUCAGAGAAGUCUGAUUUAAGUACUAGAAGUAGUAUUUAAAUUAGACUUUUACGUCUAAAUGUUAUUUGAAUUAUUAUUGUUAAGUCGUCAACUAAAUAUGUUUAACCUAGAGUGAUCUAGGAAGAAACAAAAUUUAAAAAACGUAACUACAAAAUCAUUUUACUGUCUUGUUUUUAAUAAGGCAGUGAAGCGCAAAUUAGAAUAAAAGAUAUUAUGUCUCACAACUGCUAUUGAUGCAAAAGCAAUAGUAGGAGCAUAAUU